GUUAGGUGAUCAAUCUGGUUUCAUGAAUGCACUAAUGACUUGUUUGGAGGAUGAAGAGGAGGAAAUGGAUGAUCCUGAUUCUACCAUCAUUGAUUGAAAUAUAGGAAGAUUGCAACACAAUCCAUGCUGCUUUUUCAUGUCAAGUGAUUAGGCCUACUUGCUGCUUGCUGC